GUCUCUUUGUAUAAAUUAUUGUUAAUUGAUAAAUAUGGGAUGUUGAUAUGUAAUUAAAAAUUGGUUGAUAAUGUGAAUCUGUGUAUGAAAGCUUACUGGGUAUCUUGGGAAAGAGUGGAUUGACCUAACACAUAGGAAAAACUUUACCAUGAACGUUACCUCAGACGGACAGGGUUGAGAGGUCCCAUACCAAAAGAAUUUGAGAGAUAUGGUUCACUCUCAUACUAGAC
rnacentral:lncRNA from 1 species